AACGCGAAGAACCUUACCUGGGCUCGAAAUGUAGAGGACGAUAUCAGAGAUGAUAUUUCUCGAAAGAGUCUCUAUAUAGGUGCUGCAUGGCUGUCGUCAGCUCGUGCCGUGAGGUGUUUGGUUAAGUCCAGCAACGAGCGCAACCCUUAUCGUUAGUUGCCAGCGCGUAAUGGCGGGAACUCUAACGAGACUGCCUGGGUUAACCAGGAGGAAGGUGAGGAUGACGUCAAGUCCGCAUGGCCUUUAUGUCCAGGGCUACACACGUGCUACAAUGGUCGGUACAGAAGGCAGCAAGACCGCAAGGUGGAGCAAAUCCCCAAAACCGAUCUCAGUUCAGAUUGUAGACUGCAACUCGUCUACAUGAAGUUGGAAUUGCUAGUAAUGGCGUGUCAGCAACAACGCCGUGAAUACGUUCCCGGGCCUUGUACACACCGGCUAC
rnacentral:rRNA from 1 species